GGACCAUCAUGUCGGUCGUGCCUCGGUACGUACUGGUAUUGUUGGUUUCUCCCUUCUGACGAACCAUGAUGUCAUUUAUUUGGUGUUGUGGGGAAUCAGGACUGUUACUUUGAAAAAAUUAGAGUGUUUAAAGCAGGCUCACGCUUGAAUACAUUAGCAUGGAAUAAUGAAAUAGGACGUUUGAUUCCUAUUUUGUUGGUUUCUAAGAACGACGUA
rnacentral:rRNA from 1 species